CAAACAAGCUUAACACCAUAGUCAAGUACUACUGAAAGCCAACCCUGACCACUGCUCAUUUGUUCACAUAAACACUUAAAGAAAAAAUAGGGUAGAGUGUUAUAACAAAGUUAAUUUUAACUCCUAACCUUCUAGGUAAUUGCAGAUAAACCAUGACUUAAUUGUUAAUACCAAACAGUUGUUUUCUUUC